rnacentral:rRNA from 1 species
UUUAUUGGAGAGUUUGAUCCUGGCUCAGGAUGAACGCUGGCGGCGUGCCUAAUACAUGCAAGUCGAGCGAACGGAUUGAGAGCUUGCUCUCAAGAAGUUAGCGGCGGACGGGUGAGUAACACGUGGGUAACCUGCCCAUAAGACUGGGAUAACUCC